AGAAUCAACGCUGGCGGCGUGCCUCAGACAUGCAAGUCGAACGCGAAAGUCCCCUUCGGGGGACAAGUAGAGUGGCGCACGGGUGAGUAACACGUAGGUAAUCUACCUUUGGAUGGGGGAAUAACAACCGGAAACGGUUGCUAAUACCGCAUAAUGCAGCGGCACCUAAUGGUGACAGUUGUUAAAGCGGGGGAUCGAAAGACCUCGCGUCUGAAGAGGAGCCUGCGGCGGAUUAGCUAGUUGGUAAGGUAAUGGCUUACCAAGGCUACGAUCC
rnacentral:rRNA from 1 species